AACGCACGAGACCUGCGGACCUGCGGAGGGAUCAUUACCGAGUUAUCCAACUCCCAACCCCUGUGAAUUAUACCUUUAAUUGUUGCUUCGGCGGGACUUCGCGCCCGCCGGGGACCCAAACCUUCUGAAUUUUUUAAUAAGUAUCUUCUGAGUUGUUAAAAAAAUGAAUCAAAACUUUUAACAAUGGAUCUCU
rnacentral:misc_RNA from 1 species